AUUGAACGCUGGCGGCAGGCCUAACACAUGCAAGUCGAGCGGAUGAAGGGAGCUUGCUCCUGGAUUCAGCGGCGGACGGGUGUGUAAUGCCUAGGAAUCUGCUUGGUAGUGGGGGAUAACGUCCGGAAACGGGCGCUAAUACCGCAUACGUCCUGAGGGGAAAGGGGGGGAUCUUUGGACCUCCCCGUACCAAGUGGGCCUAGGUCGGAUUAGCUAGUUGGUGGGGUAAAGGCCUACCAAGGCGACGAUCCGUAGCUGGUCUGAGAGGAUGAUCAGUCACACUGGAACUGAGACACGGUCCAGACUCCUACGGGAGGCAGCAGUGGGGAAUAUUGGACAAUGGGCGAAAGCCUGAUCCAGCCAUGCCGCGUGUGUGAAGAAGGUCUUCGGAUUGUAAAGCACUUUAAGUUGGGAGGAAGGGCAGUAAGUUAAUACCUUGCUGUUUUGACGUUACCAACAGAAUAAGCACCGGCUAACUUCGUG
rnacentral:rRNA from 1 species